rnacentral:rRNA from 1 species
CCUACGGGACGCAGCAGUGGGGGAUAUUGCACAAUGGGGGGAACCCUGAUGCAGCGACGCCGCGUGGGUGAAGAAGCGCCUCGGCGCGUAAAGCCCUGUCAGCAGGGAAGAAAAUGACGGUACCUGAAGAAGAAGCCCCGGCUAACUACGUGCCAGCAGCCGCGGUAAUACGUAGGGGGCAAGCGUUAUCCGGAUUUACUGGGUGUAAAGGGGGCGCAGACGGCGAUGCAAGCCAGGAGUGAAAGCCCGGGGCCCAACCCCGGGACUGCUCUUGGCACUGCGUGGCUAGAGUGCAGGAGGGGCGG